rnacentral:tRNA from 1 species
AGGACUGUAGUCUAGCAUGGUUUUAUGAUUCCUGAUUUGGGACAUCAGGAGGUCGUGGGUUCAAAUCCCACCAGUCCUA